rnacentral:rRNA from 1 species
UGGGGAAUAUUGGACAAUGGGCGCAAGCCUGAUCCAGCCAUGCCGCGUGAGUGAUGAAGGCCCUAGGGUUGUAAAGCUCUUUCACCGGUGAAGAUAAUGACGGUAACCGGAGAAGAAGCCCCGGCUAACUUCGUGCCAGCAGCCGCGGUAAUACGAAGGGGGCUAGCGUUGUUCGGAUUUACUGGGCGUAAAGCGCACGUAGGCGGACUUUUAAGUCAGGGGUGAAAUCCCGGGGCUCAACCCCGGAACUGCCUUUGAUACUGGAAGUCUUGAGUAUGGUAGAGGUGAGUGGAAUUCCGAGUGUAGAGGUGAAAUUCGUAGAUAUUCGGAGGAACACCAGUGGCGAAGGCGGCUCACUGGACCAUUACUGACGCUGAGGUGCGAAAGCGUGGGGAGCAAACAGGUUAGAUACCCUGGUAGUCCACGCCCGUAAACGAUGAAUGUUAGCCGUUGGGGAGUUUACUCUUCGGUGGCGCAGCUAACGCAUUAAACAUUCCGCCUGGGGAGUACGUCGCAAGAG